rnacentral:tRNA from 1 species
GCACGACCUUGCCAAGGUCGGGGUCGCGAGUUCGAGUCUCGUUUCCCGCUCCA